rnacentral:lncRNA from 1 species
GGAAAAGAUAUUUGCAAAUGACAUAUCGGACAAAGGGCUAGUAUCCAAAAUCUAUAAAGAACUCACCAAACUCCACACCCAAAAAACAAAUAUCCAUGAAGAAAUGGGCAGAAAACAUGAAUAGACACUUCUCUAAAGAAGACAUCCAGAUGGCCAACAGGCACAUGAAAAGAUGCUCAAUGUCGCUCCUCAUCAGGGAAAUACAAAUCAAAACCACACUCAGGUACCACCUCACGCCAGUCAGAGUGGCUAAAAUGAACAAAUCAGGAGACUAUAGAUGCUGGAGAGGAUGUGGAGAAACGGGAACCCUCUUGCACUGUUGGUGGGAAUGCAAACUGGUGCAGCCACUCUGGAAAACAGUGUAGAGGUUCCUCAAAAAAUUAAAAGUAGAUCUACCCUAUGACCCAGAAAUAGCACUGCUAGGAAUUUACCCAAGGGAUACAGGGGUGCUGAUGCCUAGGGGCACUUGUACCCCAAUGUUUGUAGCAGCACUUUCAACAGUAGCCAGAUUAUAGACAGAGACUAAUUGUCCAUCAACUGAUGAAUGGAUAAAGAAAUUGUGGUUUAUAUACACAACAGAAUACUACUUGGCAAUGAGAAAGAAUGAGAUAUGGCCUUUUGUAGCAACGUGGAUGGAACUGGAGAGGGUUAUGCUAAGUGAAAUAAGUCCUACAGAGAAAGACAGAUACCACAUGUUUUCACUCCUAUGUGGAUUCUGAGAAACUUAACAGAAGACCGUGGGGGAAGGGAAGGAAAAAAAAAAUUAGAGAGGGAGGGAGCCAAACCAUAAGAGACUCUUAAAAAGAAACUGAAGGUUGAUGGGGGGUGGGAGGGAGGGAAGGGUGGGUGAGGGGUACUGAGGAGGGCACCUGUUGGGAUGAGCACUGGGUGUUGUAUGGAAACCAAUUUGACAAUAAAUUUCAUAUUAAAAAAAAAAUUCUUUUUUUUUCUUACCAUUUAGGCAGGCAAAAACCAGCUCUUUAUACAUUAAGUUCCUACAUAUACCAGGAUGACUAUGAACUCUCUACCCAUUAAUCCUUUUAUCUUCUUGUAUCUCAACCACUCUGUUUCAGCGAUAGCAGUUAGAGUAUGCUUUAAUAUGCAAAAAGCCCAAUCACACUCCCUUAGAAUACUUUUAGACAUAUUCUCUCAUGUUCAUUCUUGUGGCUACAUUUUAACACCAUUUUUGUCAAGUUUCAAAAGAAUGUACUGAGAUUUUAGAUGCAACUGUGUUAUAAUUUUAGUAGAUUUGGCGUUUUUAACAUCUAGCUUUCCUAACAAGAAACAGAAUAUGCCUUUUUAUUUACUGAAGUAUUGUUUUAUGUCCUCACGUAACAGUUUCCCUCAUAUAGUUCUGACACAGGGUGUGCUAAGCUUACCCCUAGGUACUUUUCAUCUUUUGUCGCGGUGGUGAAAGAGGAUCCUGUCUUGUUCCCAUUUCAGUGAGUAUUCCUGGUAUAUGGACAAGCCUUUUACUCUUGCUUCAAUGUUUUAUUCCAGUCAUUUUAUUAUAGAGAUUUGUUGUUUUUGCGGUUGUUCUUUUGGUAGGAGGAUGACGAAGGAACAGCGAGAAAGAGAAGACAGAAUCUUCGAACUUUUCAACAAAAUUGUUUCAACUGUCCUCAACAGUCCUUGGGAUCACCCUUGAUUUCUUCUUAACGUUUGAGCUUAUUGUUGAGGAAAUACUUCCUACUGUCGCCAAGAUGAACAUGCCCCACAUGGUUCGGAGAGAGCCCUCAUCGGCCUCUUGUCCAACUGCCAGUCUUCCCAUCCGUAGCCGGGCAUCUUUUUGUGACCACCACCUGUCACCCACUUUUCUCCAAAUGAGUUCAUUUGAAAUGGGUCGUGGAAGCCCACUCGCCACCCUUGCACCCUGUCACAAAGCGGGGCAAGAUCUUCUGCAGGCUCCCCACACCAGCUGACAUUUCACUACUUGAAGGCAGGUAGCAUCACCAUCAUCAGGAAACUUGGGGGUUGCCUUUUGUAGACAUUCUCCCAUACACUUGAUAAAAACCGUAGCAUUGUGCACCCAAGCUCCCAGUAGCGGAGAGGUAGAAACAACUUCAGUGCUUAUCAAGGGACGAGUGAAUAGACAAAAGGUGGUGUAUGUGUGCAAUGGAAUAUUAUUCAGCCUUGAAAAGGAAGAACAUUUUGAUGUAUGGUACAAGAGACACUGACAACGUUGUACUAAGUGAAAUAAGCCAGUCACAAAAGGAAAAUUAUGUACAAUUCCGUUUGUGUGGAAUAUCCAGAAGUAAAUCCCCAGAGACAGAGCAGGUUAGCUGGGUCUGAGGAAAAGGCAAAAUGACAGUUUGGGGACUUCCUGUUGGGGUAGUGAAAGUGUCUGCAACUAGCUAGAGGUGAUGGUUGCAUAACAUGGUGAAUGGACCAAAUGCCAUUAAACUGUAUGCUUUAAAAUGGUAAAGUUUAUGUGAGUUUCAUCUCAACGAAAACGUGUUUACUGUGGAUCGGACCAAUCUCAGUAUUAAGCCCAGACAUGCUUAGGCAGAACUGUCUAAUCUGAUUAUUCUGCCGAUUUCAAUGCACCUCGCUCCAGAAGGCAUGCAUUGAUUAUUCUAUUUUCGCUGAGAAAGUUGUGGAUUGAUGACUCACAACGGUUUUUGGCCAGCAAUCUGAGUCUCCAAACUGAUAAUAUAUCAAACUUGUAAUUCAGGGAAAG